CUGGAGUCACCUGACCAGUCUGUCUUGGAAAGAGCAGGUUUUGCUUAAUGUUUUGAACACUCAGUGUUUGCUCCUCUUAUCGGCUCCUAUUGUCUCCUAAUCUCUCUUCUGUAUUGCAGACUCCAUUGAAAUAAUACAAUAACAGAAUGUCUGUUUACCUUUUUCAUAAUGACACACACACUACAGUACUGGUACGUGCACGAGGGGCCUUCAUACGGCCUGUAUCAGUUUAUGUAGAUGACACAAAACAUGUAAGCGGUGCGAGUGAACAUCCUUGUCCAUUCCCUCCAAUCAAGAGUGUGCUGAGACCAAAUGUGUUGCUAAACGAAUUCAACACUUCUAUCAGGUGAGAAAUCUCAAGUGCUUCAGUUACCUCAGGUGCAUCUCAAUAGUAUAAUGUGGCUUCCUCUUCGUCUCCAUCAGCUACAUAAGAUAGAGUGGGUGAAUGCACAUGGUGGAUUCCUACCAGGGAGUUACUUUCUGCUGUUAUGUGUUUUCACAUCAGUGCAAAGGAGAGGACACUGCUUUAAACUGAUGAUAUGCACCGCUGGUCUUGGGUCGCUAGCGUACCUGUAGACGUCCAGUCAUUGCACUAACGCUAGUUAGCAUUGGCUCGCGAAACUGCCUCUAACUUCCUUCAUACUGCAAGCAGACAUAAAAACGUAGAGACAAAAUGAAUUGCCAGAAUGGUGUAGUAUCCCUUUAAAUACAACACACUCUUAACCUUCCCCAUACUGUAUGUGCUCUCACUUAUCCUGUGCGAUUUGAUUUAAGUGCACACAGGUCCUUCUGGGGAAAGAGAGUGCUACGGACGCCGUCGUCCCAGAGGCACAUUGACCCACUGCUGAACCAGUCACCUGGAUGCAAGUUACAUCAGAGGAAACGGUCACCUUGAUGGAAGGAAUAUCAGAGGAAACGAUCACCUUGAUGGAAGGAACGUUGGAGGAAACAUUGUCGGGAGAUGCAGCGCUGAGUGAAUGUGGCGCAGGUGGUGAAGCUGAUGUGAAGUACAGGGAGGUUUAUGAGAAAUCCAAAGGUCCAGAACAGCAUUCCAAGAGUUGCAGCAUUCCAAGAACAUCCGCGCUUUCAUCUCUGAGUACAAAGGUGAGAAAGUCUCCUCUGGUUCGGCUUACUCUCAACUCCCUGAGACGAUGGAGACAGAGACAGAGAGAGCUCAAGCGCUCACAAAGACGCAGAGCAAGCUGAUACCAUGGAUACCCAAUCUGUCAGAAAUGUGUCUGAACUGCAAAGUCAGGUGAAAAGAGCAGCAGACGAAGUACAAGAAGGCAGUGAAGAAGAAGGCAAGGUCUCUCUACUCUGUGAUGCGAAAGACUCUGGAGACCCAACAUGCCAAGCGGUCUCCCAGCUCCAGAGCCAGGCGUGGGCGGCAGGCCAAGUACAAGGAGGCAGGGAAGCAGCAGUUCUCUACUCCUCUCUACUCAAAGCUUCCAGAGACUUUGGAGACUCAGCACGCCAAAGAGGCCUCCCAGCUACAGAGCGUGGUAAAGUACAAGAAGAAGUACGAGCGGUCUAACGGACACUACUAUAUAGCACUGGACACAACAGAACAGCAAGAGAAUGAGGUACUACACAGCCAGGAAGUGAUGUCACUGAGUAUUGCCCCUAUAUAUAGGACCUUCCACCACCUGGGAUAUGGAUGCCUGAUGACGACCUAGACGUUGAAAUGUUGUUGUAAAUAAAUAUCACCUGGAGAAUGAGCAACAGUGUGCAGUGUUUUCCUUUGUUUUCCAUGAGUUUGCCUACAACUCCAGCACCUCCGGAAAGUACCAGGAUGUGAGUAUGUUCUUCAGCUUUGGCACACAGUAGCAAAACGUUUUGCAACAGGGAACAAAAACAAGUAUUUCUGUCAUGAUCCUUUUGAUGUCUUGUUGUUGCCAAGCUGACCUGAGUCUGUCAGUGUACGUGUUAGUCUGUGUUUGACUCUUCCAGGCCUCCUGCAAGCAGACAGCCCUGCUGAGGGAGAACUCAUAUUGAACAGUGUCCGAGACACAUCAGAACUACUGCACGCCGCCUACCUGAAAGCUGUCUACAGUCAGUUAGGGAUAACUCUCAGUACAGCAUCCCACCACGCAUUGCACUUUAUUUUACACCACAGAAUGGGAUAUGUGCUUGGAUGGUGUGUCAAUCUCCCUCAACUUUAUGCAGAAGAAGUACAAGGAUGAGGCGGAGAAACUGAAGGGCUCAUAUGUGUUCGACACCCCUGAGAUUGAGAGAGUGAAGAACAACCAGAGAAACAUCAGCUCAUGUCAGUACACUUGGGACUCAAAGCUGCUGAAAAGCCUGAUGUCUUCUGUCACCGACACUCCGGAAAUCAUCUUCGCCAGGGAGAACAAAGAAAAUCAGUGACGUGAAAUACAGAGACGGGGUGGGGAGCGGGACGGUAGUCAUGGAAACUGUUGACAUGGAGAGGGUCCGCAGAAACCAGGAGAACAUCAGCUUGGUGAAGCAUAAAAAGCAGCUCCAGGCCCCCAGUGUGGGAGUCACCUCAGAGUUGGAGAGAGUCCGUCAGAACCAGGAGAACAUCAGCUCAGCAAGUCACAUAGGAUGCAUCUGAAAUGGCAACCUACAGUAUAUGUUAGCUCUGACCAAAAGUACUACCACUACUAUGUAGUGGAAAUGGCCUAGGUGGGAGUGUGCUAGUCAGUAUGACCACCAAUUACUUUUGAGCUAUUUUAGAUUAUUGAGAUUCAACCCGACCUACUUUUGUGCGUUGCAGGUGAAGUACCAGCGCGGGAAGAAGGAGAUGAAGGGGCGAUCCUGCGGCGAGUUGGACACGCCCGGACUGAGUAGUGUCAGGGAGUCACAGAACGACAUCUAACACAACUGAAGCGCACCGCAUGUGGGACUGCUGCACUUUUAACCCACACAGCUAAAUAGUUAACAGCAUGGCUGUUUCCUUGUUAUGAGGGAGCCAUCAUGAAUGUACUGUACUGUGUCUGUGAGCGUGUCUGUGUGUGCGUUACUAAUAAAGUGAUUUUUACAUGG